rnacentral:rRNA from 1 species
UACGUAGGGUGCAAGCGUUAAUCGGAAUUACUGGGCGUAAAGCGUGCGCAGGCGGUUGUGUAAGUCCGAUGUGAAAUCCCCGGGCUCAACCUGGGAACUGCAUUUGUGACUGCACAGCUGGAGUGCGGCAGAGGGGGAUGGAAUUCCGCGUGCAGCAGUGAAAUGCGUAGAUAUGCGGAGGAACACCGAUGGCGAAAGCAAUCCCCUGGGCCUGCACUGACGCUCAUGCACGAAAGCGUGGGGAGCAAACAGG